rnacentral:rRNA from 1 species
UGCCGCUUGCGAGGGCGUAUGGUGGAUGCCUUGGCAGACAGUACCGAUGAAGGACGUUUGAGGAUGCGAUAAUCCUAGGGGAGCCUCCAACAUGGCUUUGAUCCUAGGGUCUCCGAAUGGGGGAACCCGCCGGCCGUCAUGGGCCGGCACCGCACGUUGUUGCGGGGGGUACGCAGGGAAGUGAAACAUCUCAGUACCUGCAGGAAGGGAUACUCCGUGAGUAGUGGCGAGCGAAAGCGGAUCAGACCAAACCGGUUGCGCGUGAUACCCGUCGGGGGUUGCGUUGCCGGUGUUGUGGGAUCACGUGUCCCGGUUCCGACGGACCGGGCGGGAGUCAUAAAACGGCUUGCCAGGGGAACAGGCUUGAAGGCCUGGCCGUAGAGGGUGCCAGCCCCGUACCUGGACGUGAGCCGUCUUCCGAUCGUGUUGUCCCAAGUAGCGCGGGCCUCGUGGAAUCCCGCGUGAAUCAGCCCAGACCGUUGGGUAAGUCUAAGCAUACCUGUCUGACCGAUAGCGUACCAGUACCGUGAGGGAAAGGUGAAAAGCACCCCGGGAGGGGAGUGAAACAGUUCCUGAAACCGUGCGCCCACAAACCGUCGGAGCCUCCUUGUGGGGUGACGGCGUGCCUAUCGAAAAAUGAGUCUGCGAGUCAGUGGCGGGUGGCGAGCAUAAGCCGUGUGGCGUAUGCGUAGCGAAAGCGAGUCUUAAAAGGCGUUUUCAGUCGCUUGUCCUGGACCCGAAGCGGGAUGAUCUAGCCCUGGGCAGGUUGAAGCGCGGGUAAGACCGCGUGGAGGACCGAACCCACCUGGGUUGAAAACCGGGGGGAUGACCUGGGGCUAGGGGUGAAAGGCCAAUCAAAUUCCGUGAUAGCUGGUUCUCUCCGAAAUGCAUUUAGGUGCAGCGUCGGUCGAUUGCGUCGCGGGGGUAGAGCUACCGGAUGCUUGCGGGCCCUUGUUGGGUACCAACAGCAGCCGAACUCCGAAUACCGUUGACGUGUAUUCCGGCAGUGAGUCGGCGGGGGAUAAGCUCCGUCGUCGAGAGGGAGACAGCCCAGACCGUCGUCUAAGGUCCCGAAGCGUGUGCUAAGUGGGAAAGGAUGUGGAGUCGCAUAGACAGCCAGGAGGUUGGCUCAGAAGCAGCCAUCCUUGAAAGAGUGCGUAACAGCUCACUGGUCUAGUGGUUCCGCGCCGACAAUGUAGCGGGGCUCAAGCACACCACCGAAGACGCGGCAGCAAUCUUCAUGGUUGCUGGGUAGGAGAGCGUCCUGCGAGGGGCGAAGCGGCCGGGUAACCGUGCCGUGGACUUCGUGGGAGUGAGAAUGCAGACAUGAGUAGCGAGAGACGGGUGAGGAUCCCGUCCGCUGGAUGACCAAGGGUUCCGGGGCCACGUUCGUCGUCCCCGGGUGAGUCGGGUCCUAAGGCGAGGCCGACAGGCGUAGUCGAAUGGAUGAACGGGUGGAUAUUCCCGUACCGACCAUGGACCGGCAAAACCGAGACGGUGAGUACUAACCUCCGCCUCGUGGUGGUUCCUUCCUUCGGGUUGGUUCCGCCGCGUGGUGUUGGGAGCGUAGCCGUAGUAGGUCAGCGCAGGGGUGACACGGAAUGGGAGCCGGCCGCGGAGGUGGUUUUCCGUGGUCAAGCACGCAGCCAGUCAUGUAGGCAAAUCCGCAUGGCGCGCAUGGCGAGGUGUGAUGAUGGGAGCCUUUUGGGCUCGAUAUCCGGUUGUCCAGGCCGUCGAGAAAAGCCUCGGCGUGAGGGCCAUGGCCGCCCGUACCCCAAACCGACACUGGUGGUCAGGUAGAGAAUACCAAGGCGAUCGAGCGAAUCCUGGUCAAGGAACUCGGCAAAUCACUCCCGUGCCUUCGGUAUAAGGGAGACCCGCUGGGGUGAACCGGCUAGCCCGGGGAGCUUUGGUGGGUGGCACAGACCAGGGGGUAGCGACUGUUUACCAAAAACACAGGUGCAUGCGAAGGCGAAAGCCGCUGUAUAUGCACUGACGCCUGCCCGGUGCCGGAAGGUUAAGAGGAUCCGUCAAUCCCUUCGGGGACGAAGCGGUGAAUUCAAGCCCCGGUAAACGGCGGUGGUAACUAUAACCAUCCUAAGGUAGCGAAAUUCCUUGUCGGGUAAGUUCCGACCUGCACGAAUGGCGUA